rnacentral:rRNA from 1 species
CGUGUAGGCGGUUCGGCAAGUGAGGUGUGAAAUCCCUCGGCUCACCCGAGGACCUGCAUCUCAAACUGCCGGACUAGAGUAUGGGAGAGGACAAGGGAAUUCCUGGUGUAGCGGUGAAAUGCGUAGAUAUCAGGAGGAACACCGGUGGCGAAAGCGCUUGUCUGGCCCAAUACUGACGCUGAGGCGCGAAAGCUAGGGAGCAAACG